rnacentral:lncRNA from 1 species
AAAAAAAAAGGGGGCCUCAUUCCAGCCCAUUAAAUAUUAUCAUCUGGGCCUAAUAAAUUAAAGCGGGCCUGAUCAACGACGGCCCACAUCCACAUCCUAUAAAAUAUCUGUUCGAAAUUCGAUUUCAAAUCACAACCCAUUCAAAAUUCGAUUUCGAAUUUCGAAUUUCGAAUUUCAAAUUCCCAACCAAUUCCCAAAAUAUUCUCCAACAACCCAUUCAAAAUUCGAAUUUCGAAUUUCGAUUUCCCAACCAAUUCCGAAAAUAUCCUCUAACAACCCAUUCAAAUUUUGAAUUUCGAAUUUCGAAUUCCCAACCUAUUUUCAAAAUAUCCUCCAACAACCCAUUCAAAAUUCGAAUUUUGAAUUUCGAAUUUCCCAACAAAAUCCCAACAACCCAUUCAAAAUUCGAUUUUGAAUUUUGAAUUUCGAAUUUUCAACCAAUUCCCNGAGGAUUGAGCUGAGGUAUGAGGUUAAAGAUCGAUUUGGUAUCGUCGAGUUCGUUUUGAGGACGAAACUCUUUUAAGGUGGGGAGAAUGUAAGGGAAGUGAAUUCUCGAAAUCCAGGGAUUUGACUUCGUUGGGAAUCGACUGAUUGUCGAGUAUGUAAGCUUCGGAGAGUCCGAAGGUGGUUAUAAUGCAUUAAGUGCAUUGAGGAAAUGUCCGCGAGAGUACCAGUGCAAAAGCAGCACUAGAGCAGAAAUGCUCUCGGGGACCGGUCCCUGGCAGGGAGGGACCGGUUCCAUCGGGCUGGACUACGGGAGUCUCUGAUGAGACCGGUCCCUGGCAGGCAGGGACCGGUUCCCGAACGUUAACCCUGCGAGACAAGCCGAAAUUUGGCUAAGUCCCGAGAAUCCAGCUCUCGGGAACCGGUCUCUCGGAUAAGGACCGGUCUCCCGAGGACCGGUCUCUUGAGCAGGGACCGGUUCCCGAACGCGAAAACCCCUCUGCCUGAUUGUGUAGCUCUUGGGGACCGGUCUCCCCGAGCUGGGACCGGUCCCUCACUGCGAAAAUAGCCCAGGGAGGGCUGUUUCAAUAGGUGAAAAGUUGAGGGGCUUAUUUGCAAAUUGGCUUAUAUGAGAGGCUAGGGGACUCCUCUCUCCCUCUCAGUUGCUCUCUCUCCCUCCCUCACGCCCUUUUGCUCUCUCUCUCUCUAGAAAGGAAAAGAAGAAGAAGAAAGAAGAGAGAGAGGAAGGAGAAGGCUAAGUAGAAGAAGAGGAUCAUCUUCUUCUCUCCCUCUUCAAGCUAGGAGCUUUGUUUAGAGGUAAGCUCCAAACCCUUUGAUGGUGGGUUUUGUAAGCUAGGGUUUUAAAGCUUAGAAAUGGUUCGAAUGGAACCUACUGAAGCUAGGGAGACGGUUCGAGCUCGAAAUCGAAGCUCGCGCCGUGGAUUUCUCCGUUGUUGAAACCUAUGGCUCCGAUUCGGGAUUUUGGCAAGUCUAGGGUUUUGAUCUAAUUUGAGGGGUCGCAAACCUAAUUGCUAGGUCCUUGAACGCGUCGGCGAAAACGGUUCGUCGAUCCGUCGAGUGGGUGCGGAGUUAUUGUCAAGGCGACCCUCGGAGCGUCGUUUUGCCAGGAGGGCCAUCGAGGCGUCGAAACGUCGGCGAAUCGCAUUCGAAGAGUCACGGCAUCGCCACAAGGUGGGGGAGUGCCAUCCCGAAGCAGUCGGGCUGCUCUUUAUGUCUGAGUAAUGUUGUCGAUCAUUUACAUAUUGUGAUAUAGCAUUAUAGGGUGUUAAAUGUAAUUGUACAUAUCUUUGCAUGCUAGUGAUAGUUUAGAUUGUGGAUACAAUGAAUGGGAACCUAGUAUGCAUGAGUAGAAUAUUAUGAGAUAGCUCGCCCUUUAUGUGAUAAAUAUGUCUAUGUGAAUAAGAGCCUAGUGUAUUGGAAACUAGUGUAUCAAGAACUUGUCAAAAGAACGAGUGGCAUCUAGUAAACAGUGAACCCAAAACGAGUGGCAUCUAGUUGAUAUUGAACUUGAGAACCUUAGCGUAGUUGGGACACUAGGAGAUUGAGCAGAUGAACACCUGAUUCAAUAGUGACACCAAUGCUAGUUGGUUAGGGUGUUUCCAGUUCAUGAGAUUGGAUCGAGUUCACGUAGCCUGUCUGCAUCUGUGGAGGUAGCUCCUCACAGGUAGUGCACUCCGGAGUUUGGCACGCGAGGGGGCCAGUGUAGUGCCCUUGGACCAGUGCAGUGUCCGCAGGCGGUCUCGGGGAAGGUGAAUAGCUAGCCACCACCCCUAUGAGGCUUAGAGACGUGAGACUGUGAGCGAACCUUGCGUUCGCCGAGAGAUUGGGUGAUUGGUUGAAUGGUUUCAUUAUUGAGCAUGGUAGUAUGAUAGCCAGCCUUCUCACUAUGAGUCCCAUGCAUGCAUCAUACUGGAUUGAGGCAUCGAUAGAUCAUAGUUCAUAGUUGCUCAUUACUGUUAAUGCUUUCAGUUUUAUAUACCUAUCUAUCUGCAUAUCUAUCUGUGCCUGCUUAGACCUAGUGGGGAGAUCGGCGGAGUCGGCGGCCGAACCCACUGGGAACUAUUCGUAGUUCUCACUCCACCAUGUUGCAGGUCCGAGUUCGAGCGCCCCCGGGGAGGAUCGUGGCAAGGGCGUAGCGCCCUAGCGGUAUAUGUAUAUAGCUAGCUUACCUCCUUUUGCAUUAGCCCUACCCUGUACUUAUGUUUGAGAGUAGAUUGAUGUAUAGGGUGAGGUUUGAGAGGAUUGUAUGUAUUGUACCUACAUUUUUGGAAGAAUGUAAAGGAUAAAAUAAUUAUAUAAAUGAAUUAAUAGUUAGUACAUCUCUCUUUGAUCACUUGUAUACUUUACCUGUGUUGCUUGCUCUUAGUUGAUAAGCACUGUUUGUGCUCUCGUGGUUGUAGUUUGAUUGUGUAUGUAUUCAAGCUGUUUCCUGGGAACUUGUUGUACACAAUCUAGUUGUUCCAGCCUUGGGCGGACAGUGGAAGUGCUGUCCGUUCGGCGGUCCGUUCGUCGCGCCCGAACCGUGCCAAAUUGGUAACGGCCUCGGGGCGGGGGCGUGACACAAACUCUGCCAUAGGUAAAUGCUGCGACCAUCCUCUCUAAAAGUCUAUCACACAUGCCCGGAGCAUAUCCUCUAAAGUCUGUAUGGUGCGCUCGGACUGCCCAUCACUCUGAGGGUGGAAAGCAGUGCUAAAGUCCAGUCAGGUGCCUAGGGCGUCCUGUAGACUCCUCAAAAAAUGAGACACAAACCGAGUGUCUCGAUCCGAUACGAUCGAUGUAGGCACUCCAUGAAGGCGCACAAUCUCAUCAAGGUACACUUGUGCGAGCUUCUCUCCGGUCCAAAUAGUAUGAAUAGGUAUGAAGUGCGCCGAUUUCGUCAACCUAUCCACGAUCACCCAAAUAGCGUCAUGCCCGGCCUGAGAGCGGGGCAAUCGAGUCAUGAAAUCCAUGGUGAUCUUCUCCCACUUCCACACGGGAAUAGGCAAACUCUGAAGUUUUUCAACUGGUAAUCGAUGCUCAGCCUUUAUGUCACGCCCCGGGACCGAUACCAAUUUGGCCCAACCCGAGCGCGUCAAACAGACGCCGAACGGACAGAGUUUCCCCUAACCGCCCAAGGCUCAUCACAUGUACAUUUUCAUCAAUAGAGAAAAGCACUAGCGGAAACAUACACAAACGGCUUACACGAGGGUAAGCAAUAGCCACGAGUGAAAGAAAAAGGAAACUAAACAUUCACUUGUACUAUGAUUCAUUUUUGAUCAUAUACAUUGCAUUCACCUUGUUCAUUUUCGAAUUCCUUACAUUUCAUUUCAUCAUUUCUUUCUUACAUCACAUUUACCUCCAAAAUACAUAUUACAUUCCUUUUUCAACAUCACUAGUCAUCAAAUACAAAAGAUGAACAUAGGGUACUCUACUAACAAAAUGUAAACCCAACUCAACUCUGGUGGCCUCUGUCUAAGGCGCGAUACCUUUACCUCNNNNNNNNNNNNNNNNNNNNNNNNNCAGUCGCUCGCCGGCUCGUUCGAUCGCCGCUCUGGGUGGGAAUAGUGGGGUGACGAAUACAACAAAGUUCCCAGUGGUUUGGGCGCUUCAACUAUCACCACUUUCUGCCACUUGGGCUAAUCAGGCGAUAUAGAAAAAUAAGCUCAUAUAGUACCAAUCUCUAUACAUGAUGCGAAUAUGGCCCUGAAUAAUAACAGCAGAAAUAUGCUCAACAUUAAAUAAAUGCAGAUUAUGCAAAUCUUUGUUCUUUUCAGCUUACUCUUUGUUCUUUGUUCUUGCUCUUUGUUCUUUUUCUUUAUUCUUUAAUCUCAAGCCGGCGGGGGGGCCUAACGGAGGUUUCGGCCAUAUUAACUUGCUUCACCAUUAAAGUCCAUCAUCCGCAGGAACUCACGCCGCUAGGGACCGUCCUUCGGGGUUACUCCAACCGGCUGAUGGAUAAUCCCGAGCGCAUCGCCCGAGGGGAGCAUCCGCCCUCGAGCACGGACUCAUUAGCAGGAGUAUGAUCAUGAUCUUAACUCAAAGAUUUAUAAGCUUCAAUCUUGACUUUACACUAGCGUUCUAGUGUUGCUUUAUGUCACUUUAUAUGCCACUCUAGCAAUCGUUGUUCUUACUUUUCUUUACUUUUGCCAUCUUUAGCAUUCUUGUUCUUUACAUUUCUCGUUCUUAUUGCCCCACUUUACUUAUUUACACAUUGUCAUUUCCAUCAUUCUUUACAUCACUUUGGUUCUUUGGUCACACUAACUCUAGUGUCACUUUACUUUAGUUUUCGAAUGCCACUCGAUCUAUGUCAUUGUGUCACUCUGGUCUUUUUGCUCACUUUGGGUGCUCACCUUCUCUCAUGCAUACACAUAGGGUUUUCGACUUCACAUAGUCCUCAUCCAUCAUAUUUAUGCUAGUCGUACUCACAAUCAUGCAUCGUUACGUUUUCAUCGUUACUUUUACCUAAAAGCAUGCAACAAGGUAUAUACAUAUGCUCAAUUGAAUGACACAUUAGGCAUAGAGAGAAGUUCAAUGAGUUUGAGAAGCACCCUCCACUUCGUAGGCUUCAAAGUGCUCCGAUGAUUUUCUUGGGAUUUUAGACGUCUCUUUCUUUACCUGCGGCAAAACGAAGCCAAAUUAGGCUUAUUUGGCCAUAACUUUACAUUGCUUUUCGUAACAUUAAUCCGAGGCACACCAACGCGUCGAAAUACCCCAAUUAGGUUUCUAGAGGUCAAUUGCACUUAGAAAUCCCAUGAGAAAAAGCCCAAUUUGGUGCCCUAGCUCCAAUACAUAUGUCAAACCUAGGGUUUGAUCUCAUUGGGAAGCCAAAAAUAGCUUCAUAACUCUAAGAGUUCAUCUAAACCAUCCUAGCUCAUUCCUAACCCUAGUUUGGAUUUCACCAUGAGAGGGUCAAGCUUCCUUCAAGCUUUACCCCAAAGCACUAACCAUGUCUUGAUCUCAAAAAGCAAAAGAAAGCUUCAAAGACUCUAAAUACUCCAUUAAAACCAUUUCUAGGUUAAUCCAAACCCUAGUUUGGAAUUUAGCAUGAGAAGGGGCACAACUUUACCUUUAAACUUGCUCCUUUUCAAGCUAGAGAAGAAGGAGGAGAGUUUCUUCUUCUUCCUUGUCUUCUUCUUCACUUUCUUCCUUCUUUUCUUUCCUUUCCUUUGUCUUCUUCUUCUCCUUCUUUGUCUUUCUAGAGAGAGAAAGAGAGAGAGAGUGUGACGGGAGUGGAAUGAGAGAAAAGCCUCAUGUCCCUCAUACAUAACCAUGUGGGCUGCAAAAAUGCUAAAAACCCCUCAACUUUCACUCUUUCACACAACCUGGACUGGGCAGAUUUCGGGCUUGGGGAGCCGGUCCACGACUAGGGACCGGUCUCCGAGAGCUCUCCAGCGCAGCUAGAGCUGCUGCGCGCAAUGCGACCGGUCUCUCUUUGAGGGGACCGGUCUCUCGGGCACCGGUCUCUCAGGCAGGACCGGUUCCCGAGAGUAAUCCUCCAGUCUUAGCCGAUUUUCGGCUGUUCAUUUCAUACGCGUUCGGGGACCGAUCUCUCCACCAGGGACCGGUCCCGAGAGCUCAAAACUGCUGAAUGCAGAUUUUGGAUUCUAUAGCUCUCGAAAACCUCCCGUAACUCGCUUCUUAAUCGUUUUAUACACUUCGGACUUUCCGAAGUGUACCGUCCUCGCACUUUGGUCAAAUUUGACUAAAGUUCGAUAUUUAUUUUCGAAUUUUCGGUAUAUUAACAUUCUCCACCCCCUUAAAAUAUAUUCGUCCGGCGAAAUUACGCAUACCUGUUAACUCGUGCCGACUCAAAUAGAUGUGGGAUUACUCUCGUCCGCCAUUGUUUGCCCGAGCUCCCCAAGUGGCUCUCUUGCCACAAGCAUGGUUGGCUAUUGGAGCUACAUAUGGAAUUCUUGCGACUUCGCCAACUUUUUCACUUCCGGAUGCGAGGAUGCACACCGGGCUACUCCUUCAUAAGAAUAUCCUUCACGAAGCGUCUACGGGCUCUGAUAUUCCAAUAACAUUUUUAUGUCGCGUUUCGGAUAUACUUUCGAAUGAUUUCGACACCAUGAACACACAUUUGAACUCCCGGACGUUCUCGGGUGGUAGGUGCGAGCUUGACGCCACCUGCACCCACGCGCUCUAAUAUCUCAAUGGUCCGACAUAUCGGGACUUAGCUUCCCAGCGGACCCCGAAUGCGUUGUAACUCCUCGCUAUCGGCGAUACUCUCAGAUACACGGUCUCCAAACCGGCGAACUCUCAAAGUCCUUUUCUUCUCUGUUCGGCAUAACUCUUCUUCGAGAUUGUCCCGUCGCAACCGUUGACGGGCAGGCGAACUUUUUUCUCCGCCUUCCCCGCCCACAUCGGCGGCCAAGAGCGUCCUCAUCGCCACGUGCGCUCCGAUGGAUGUAGAACGACACUUACGUCCAUACAGUGCCUCAUAAAGGGUACCAUCGGUAUACUCUUUGUAGCUCAUUAUUGUAGGCGAAACUCCGCCAUAGGCAAAAAGAUCAUGCCAUCCACUUUGUAAUCUUAGCACAACACUCUCGACAGAUAAUCCUCCCAAAAAGGGGAUAUUGUAUCGUCGCGCUCUGACUGUCCAUCACUCUUGAUAAACCUGACUACAAGUGCGAGCCGUGCUAUCCACGCGUUUGCAAAACUCUUCCAAAAGUGGGAUGAUGAAUCUGGGGUCGCGAUUCGACACGAUCGACACUGGAACCCAUGAAGUCUCACACACCUCGUCGAGAAUAACUUGGAGGCCAACUUAUCUCCCGACCACGUAGUAUGUAUCGGCAAGAAGUGUGCUGACUUUGUCAUCGAUCCACUAUCCCCAUAUUGCAUCGUCGUCCCGCCUUGUGAUCGAGCAAACCGAGUUAACAGCUCCAUCGCUAUUCUUCCCAUUCCAAACGGGUAUGGAGAGCUUUUGUAGCUUUCCCGCCGGAAAUCAGCGCUCCUGCUUCUAACUUGUUGCUACGUUAAAAAACAUUGGGCCAGAACUGCCCCAAUAUUCGUCUUCAUACCCGCACCAACAAUGUCUCUGUCAGAUCGCUUGUAAUUUAGUGCGGCCCAUGGUGUAUACUAUAGGGAGAAGUUGGUGCGCUUCUUGUAUAAGUCGCCCUUCGUAACCAACAUCCUUGGCAGCACGCCAUCGAUUUAUCCCUCUCCGGGCCUGAUCAACGACGGCCCACAUCCACAUCCUAUAAAAUAUCUGUUCGAAAUUCGAUUUCAAAUCACAACCCAUUCAAAAUUCGAUUUCGAAUUUCGAAUUUCGAAUUUCAAAUUCCCAACCAAUUCCCAAAAUAUUCUCCAACAACCCAUUCAAAAUUCGAAUUUCGAAUUUCGAUUUCCCAACCAAUUCCGAAAAUAUCCUCUAACAACCCAUUCAAAUUUUGAAUUUCGAAUUUCGAAUUCCCAACCUAUUUUCAAAAUAUCCUCCAACAACCCAUUCAAAAUUCGAAUUUUGAAUUUCGAAUUUCCCAACAAAAUCCCAACAACCCAUUCAAAAUUCGAUUUUGAAUUUUGAAUUUCGAAUUUUCAACCAAUUCCCAACAUAUCCUCCAACCAUCGAACAACCCAUUCAAAAUUUGAAUUUUGAAUUUCGAAUUUCCAACCAAUUCCCAACCAAUCCCAAAUAUCUUUCAACCAACUACAACAACCUAUUCAAAAUUCGAAUUCGAAUUUCGAAUCCCUCAAAAUAUCUCUCACCACUCCUCCCAUUAUAAAUACGAGAACCGAAAUCAAACUUCGGGGAAUUUUUUUACGGAGACGAUACGAUACAC